rnacentral:rRNA from 1 species
CAGGACGAACGCUGGCGGCACGCUAACACAUGCAAGUCGAACGGUGAAGAGUAGCUUGCUACUCGGAUCAGUGGCGGACGGGUGAGUAACACGUGAGCAAUCUGCCUCUAAGUGGGGAAUAACGUUUGGAAACGGACGGUAAUACCGCAUAACAUACACGAACCGCAUGAUUUGUGUAUCAAAGAUUUAUCGCUUAGAGAUGAGCUCGCGUCUGAUUAGCUAGUUGGUGAGGUAACGGCCCACCAAGGCGACGAUCAGUAGCCGGACUGAGAGGUUGAACGGCCACAUUGGGACUGAGACACGGCCCAGACUCCUACGGGAGGCAGCAGUGGGGAAUAUUGCACAAUGGGCGCAAGCCUGAAUGCGGCGAUGCCGCGUGAGGGAAGAAGGUUUUCGGAUUGUAAACCUCUGUUGACAGGGACGAUAAUGACGGUACCUGUUCAGAAAGCUCCGGCUAACUACGUGCCAGCCGCCGC